UACGUAGGGUGCGAGCGUUAAUCAGAAUUACUGGGCGUAAAGCGUGCGUAGGCGGUUCGUUAAGUCAGCUGUGAAAGCCCCGGGCUCAACCUGGGAAUUGCGGUUGAAACUGGCGAACUAGAAUCUGGCAGAGGGGGGUGGAAUUCCACGUGUAGCAGUGAAAUGCGUAGAGAUGUGGAGGAACACCGAUGGCGAAGGCAGCCCCCUGGGCUGAGAUUGACGCUCAGGCACGAAAGCGUGGGGAGCAAACAGG
rnacentral:rRNA from 1 species